UACGUAGGGUGCAAGCGUUGUCCGGAAUUAUUGGGCGUAAAGAGCUCGUAGGUGGCCUGUCGCGUCGGCUGUGAAAACCCGCGGCUUAACUGCGGGACUGCAGUCGAUACGGGCAGGCUAGAGUUCGGUAGGGGAGACUGGAAUUCCUGGUGUAGCGGUGAAAUGCGCAGAUAUCAGGAGGAACACCGGUGGCGAAGGCGGGUCUCUGGGCCGACACUGACGCUGAGGAGCGAAAGCGUGGGGAGCGAACAGG
rnacentral:rRNA from 1 species